CCAGACACUACAACCACUUCAAAGAGAUAAGUCAGUUACAAUGUCUACAGUGUCCCUUUAAAUACAUAUUUUUAAACAUAUCUAAUAAACAAAUAUUUAAAUUCUAAUGGGGGAGGGAAUAUCCACUCCCAGAUGAUCAGCAAUCCAGUUAUUUUACAUAUAAGGCCAAGUAAAUAUUGCCAUAGACAGGGAGGGCAGUAAUAUUAAAAUAAAUAUCUUUCUUCCCUAUGCAUUUUCUAACAU